rnacentral:rRNA from 1 species
UGGGGAAUUUUGGACAAUGGGCGCAAGCCUGAUCCAGCCAUGCCGCGUGCAGGAUGAAGGCCUUCGGGUUGUAAACUGCUUUUGUUAGGGAAUAAACCCCACUACGUGUAGUGGGCUGAAUGUACCUAAAGAAUAAGGAUCGGCUAACUCCGUGCCAGCAGCCGCGGUAAUACGUAGGGUGCGAGCGUUAAUCGGAAUUACUGGGCGUAAAGCGUGCGCAGGCGGUUAUAUAAGACAGAUGUGAAAUCCCCGGGCUCAACCUGGGAACUGCAUUUGUGACUGUAUAGCUAGAGUACGGCAGAGGGGGAUGGAAUUCCGCGUGUAGCAGUGAAAUGCGUAGAUAUGCGGAGGAACACCGAUGGCGAAGGCAAUCCCCUGGGCCUGUACUGACGCUCAUGCACGAAAGCGUGGGGAGCAAACA